GUGUGUAGGAUUUGCCCCUUGCGUUCCAGUGUUUGUAAUUCCCGAAAGUUCAGUUAGAUGCCAAAUGUCAUCUUCUGACAGUCCAAGAGCUGGUGGGGAAUUUACCGUUAUUUGGUUGCACCGUAGAAAUUCCCUAUAGUGAGAAAGUGCAAAGGAAAGGUGUCUAGGACCCCAUGUCAGCUUGGUAUGGUUUCAUUCUCCAGUGGUUAAUGUGGCCCUGGUGUCAUUGUGUAAAAGCAAGGAACAUGCCGACACAGGUGGUUCUGAGAUAUUUGCAGGGGUUGGAAUCCUUACUCGUGGUGUUGCAAGUCCUGACAGUCCCACAGGUUUCCGUUUCUCUGGAAGAUUAGCUCCAUUUCCUGUCAAUGUCUUAGCUAUGUUGUGUCUUCUCCCUGAGGGACCCUCCGUUGAGGACAUGAGCAAUCACAGGGAGACAUUCAUCCUGAGGACAGAAAUGAUCUCCAUGCAAGUUACUUAUCAGCCGUUGUGCCCUCAUACUGCAUCUGCACUCACAGCCAUGCCUACCCACUCAAGUAUCUGCCAUGGACACCAUUUUAAAAAUGGACUUGCAGA